rnacentral:rRNA from 1 species
CUACGGGCGGCAGCAGUGGGGAAUAUUGGACAAUGGGGGAAACCCUGAUCCAGCAAUGCCGCGUGUGUGAAGAAGGCCUGCGGGUUGUAAAGCACUUUCGGUUGGGAGGACUGCUUCUAGCACUAAUAUUGUUGGAAGUUGACGUUACCUUCAGAAGAAGCACCGGCUAACUCCGUGCCAGCAGCCGCGGGAAUACGGAGGGGCAAGCGUUAAUCGGAAUUACUGGGCGUAAAGCGCGCGUAGGCGGCUAGAUCAGUCGGGUGUGAAAGCCCCGGGCUUAACCUGGGAACUGCAUCCGAUACUGUCUAGCUUGAGUACAGGAGAGGAGAGUGGAAUUCCACAUGUAGCGGUGAAAUGCGUAGAUAUGUGGAGGAACACCAAUGGCGAAGGCAGCUCUCUGGCCUGAUACUGACGCUGAGGUGCGAAAGCGUGGGGAGCAAACAGGAUUAGAUACCCGUGUAGUC